rnacentral:lncRNA from 1 species
UUAGGUGUGUGUAUGGGUUUUCCUCACCUUUUCCUGAGAAAGGUUGUUUUUGAAUAAAUUCUAUGUAUUCGGGGUCUAUCUCAAAACUAGAUGUUAUGAUAGGCUUUGAAGAUUUUGGUGGUUCUAGAUGUGUGCCCAUAGGUCUAUGAAAUUCAUAGAUAGACAUGUUUGAAUUCAUAAUAGACCAGAGAUCAAGGAUUAGAUAAGAAGAAAGAAUAGCAGAGAUGAGGCAAAGGAUAAAAGGAAAAUAUUUUUUUUAUUUAUUUAUUUUUUAUAAAAUGAUUAAACUAGUUCGUAGUCAACUCAGCAACCGUUUCCCCGGCAACGGCGCCAAAAAUGCUUGUUGACACUUGCUAACACCACUUGAAUACUAGGUUAUCAUCCCCAGCGUGGCACUAGAGUGUACUAUGGUAUUUAUACGCACACAGAUAAUCCGCAAGCGCACGGAUACCGUUGAAGCUUUUACCCGGUUAAAGGUUUUAUCGUAUCCACAGGGAAACGGGAGAACUGAUCUACGCUCUAACUUAACUAAGAUAAGUAAAUAGGUGUGAAUAGGAAAGAUGGUAGAAUCGAAUAAGAACAAUAUUAAAGGUAAGAUAACAGUGAGUGAUAAUAUGGGAAUAGAGAGUAGAGCAAUUAUAGUAUAUGGGUGAUGGUAGCAGAAUAGAGAGGAUAACUAUGGUUUCUCUACUUCAAAGGGGUAUGUCUAUGUCUGGGACGAACCACGUGAUAAGAGUACACCACAAAGGAUGCAUAUCCAUAGGCCGAUAAACCCUACCCGUCCUGCUAACGAGAGGUGGACUACAGGGGACCAACGUAACUGUCACCUACGUGGCCUACCACACGAUCUAGCUAGUCAGGGGAUAUCCACAAGUAAUCUAGGUCUAAGCACCACGCUUACACCUAUACUACAACUCUAACCUAUAGGGUCCUAUAGAUUAGAAGUACUCAAAAGAGUUGUGAACCAGAAUAUACAUGAUUAGUAAUUGCAUAAUGAAUUAGAAGUAGAUUACCAGAGUCAUCCCAUGAGCAAGCUUGAUUAGAGCUUGAUCAUGGUGAAGUACAACCGGAGGAAGAACCGACAGGCCGGCCUCUCCUCUAAUCCUCCUUCGGUCUCCAUCUCGCUACUAUCUAGAUCUACUCUAGUUUAGAGAAGAGAGGAGAGCUCUCAUCUCUAAACCCUAGCUUUUGCUCUGUCUAUGAAUAAUGAAUAAUGAUCAAGGGGUGCCUCCUCCAGGGGCCAGGGGGUCUGGUUUUAUAGUCCCCUCAAGUGAACCUGGGUCGUCGGAUCAAACCGACAUUGAUUGAACGGUUAUUCUUGAUCCUUUAGGUCGGUGGAGCAUAAUCCGCGAGAUUGAGCGUGAUUGGCCGAAAAAGGUGGGCGGGCGCACUAAGGACUUGGGCGGGCGCCCUGUCCCUGACUCCGUUCGGUCUCCGCUUCCUUCCCGUGGCUUCUGGAGUCUUCUAGAUGUAAGAUAAUUGCGCGGCACGUUGAUAUCUCUAUGUAAUCCCGACGUGUGGGCCUUUCUUCCUUAUUUCCUGAUAACCCCCUGCAGAAAUAGACAAACACCAAAACUCGUGGAAUUCUGUCAGAUAAAACCCUAAGUCUCGAUGUUGAUUUCAUUUGGAUCCUUUUCUUUGUUUAUUUGAUAGUUAAAUUUGAUACUUAAGGACCGUCAACAGGGGAUACAUACAUUUCUUGCACUUUGAAGCUUUUUGAGGAGAAUGAGAUGCUCUAUAUUUUCUUUUUCUUUCCUCUCAGGUGGGUACCUUGUACCCCUAAUUCUACUGUCAGACACUUGUCCAUUUUUACCUCUCGUCUUACUUUUUCUUUUCUUCGAGGUUUCGGGCACUUGCCCCUUUUUAUUUCCUCAUAUAUUUUUUUUUCUUCUUUUUUUUAGAGCACUCAUCUCCUAAAAUAAUAUAGCAAGUGGUAGUAACCAAAAGAACUGGAGCAUUUAUUUCAUUGGGAAUAACAAGGAUAGAAAAAUGUUUUUGGCUAUUCUCUCCCGGAUUAGGAGUAGAAUAAUUUUGGGUGAAUCUGGAGAUGGAAAUGAGUGGAUGUAUGUGGAUGCGUACUUCUGGAAUAGAAGCAACAUAUACGAGUGACCAUGCAAGUGAAUCUUGAUUUUAACCACAUGACAAGCUCCUAAGGGUCUACACAGCUUGACCACACUCAAUGCUCAUAAGCAGUAAAAAGUAAAUAUAUGGUUCAUAGUCUAAUAAUCAUGUAUAUGUGGCUGUGGUAGGAUUUUAAACUCUCAUCAUACAAGAAAUCAUCGUUUGUUAUUUUAAAGAUUUUCAAAGAUAAAAUUCUCCAGAAUUCUAGCAUCUCCAGAAAUAGAUAAACAGCAGCUCAACCUUCCCAUAUCAUAUCCGUUAACGACUUAGACUUUAGAUCAAGUACUCUUCCCACAAGUUCAGGUUUAGAGCAAAUCUUAACUCAUAACAGUUAUGCCUAAACUUGAGAGAGAUUUCAAUUUUAAGAACUAGUCAUGGCAGAGCAACUAUUCAUCAUUUCCAUGUGAGAGCUUAUCAUGAAGGUUCAUAGCAAACUUUAUUUAUUUAGCAAACUAAGCAAAGAUAUAUAUAAAAGCACAAAAUCUUUAUUUGGGUUUUUAUGAUUAUGCAUCUUUUUAUUAUUUGAGUAAAGUAUAAAUGCGAGUAGAAACACUUAGCUCGAUAAAUGGGGGUGCUCUCCCCCAAGCUGGAUUUUGACGUAAUUUCUUCUGAUGUAGCUAGCAGGUGACGGAGGUAUAUUUGAAUGUCGGCAGCACCCUGACAGCGAUUAGGAUGUCCUCCGUCUGCUAGUCUUCUUUGAUCCUUGAAUUCUAUGGAGCUCAAAUAGACAACAAAGCUUUGUGGAACUGGUUAAGUGUUAGCAUAAAUAUCUAGCCUUUAUCAUGUUGAGCCUCCUCAAUAAAUGUUAUUUAUUUAGCAGGAUCAUGCACUUAUUAUUUUUAUAUUUUUAUUAUAAGAUGAAAACAUAUUUAUUUUAUGCCACCACAGUGAAUGUACCUAUCGGUUUUAUGCCAUGAGCAUACUCACAUGGGGCUUACUAUUUUUAACAUUUUUAUUUUCUUUUCGAGAUGAUAUGAAUCCUGAUUAACUAAGCAAACUAUAAUUGAAUAAUUGAAAGGAAAAGGAUAACUACCAAGUUUACCUCUUGGCAAGGCGUUCGAUGUUUUUAAGUCAUCCGAACGGGACUCUUUGUUUUCUCAGUUGUCCUGGGAUUCGCUGGAUGGCGUAGUCGGUGAUUCCGGUGGCGCCUCCUCUUCGUGUAUAACUAUCUUCUCCCUCCACACGUGACUCGGUGCUACGGUCUCCUCAGAAUAGUUCUGUUCAAGUUGUAUGUCUUCAGAGCUUACCAUUUCUCCUUCAUAGUCUGCCCAUCCGUCCGUGAUGAUUUGCCUCAUGUGAUUUCGGUUGCGUCGCCUUCUUCUUGUCCUGACUUGCUUAGAAUCUUCAACUAUAUAGUUAGAAUCAUUAAAGUAGUUGUGUACCUUCUCAGAGGGGAAGUGCAUGUGGACUUCUCCGGUUCCAAUGUAGAUGAUGGCUUUGAUAGUGUUGAGGAACGGUCUUCCAAGGACGGUAGGUGGAUCAUACUCGUCUUUUCCCAUGUCAAUGACCUGAAAAUCGUCUGGAGCUGAAUGUAUCUUGGUUGUAGGAGCAUGGUUCUAUGCAGGAGCUGAUAAGUGACUGCGGCCAUUAUGUUGUCGUCAGAUCCGGUGUCGUAGAGUGUCUUCUGAAAAGAGUAUCCAUUGAUUGUGCACUCAAUGCUUGGAACACCAGGGUUGUCCUUCUUGAUAAGGAAAGGCGACUUGAGUCGACGAUCUUUGACCUCUUUGAACUGCAGUGACCAUCUUAGCUGACUCGGUCCACAUUUGCUUGUUCCUGUUCCUCCUGUUGGUCUUCUUGCUUCGUGUCGGGAUUGCUCUGAAGUUUGUGUAGUCUUGUUCUUGAAGGAAAGUCUCCUUCUUCCCCUUGAUGUAGAAACUGAUCUUGGCAGCAUUAACAUAGAUGACAGCUCUGGUGUUUAGGAAUGGCCUCCCUAAGAUGAUGGAUGCCCUCUCCUCAGUACCAGUUUCUAUCACCACGAAGUCUGCUAGAGCGUACAAGGUACCAACUCGGACGCAGAGGUUCUUCAAUAUUUCCUUUAGGAAACUGAGUGUCCGAUCUGCAACCCUGGGCAUAAUGUUGACGCUGGAGCCAAAGUCGCAGAGUGCUUCUAGGAAGUCCACCAUGCCGAUGGAGAUCGGGAUGACGGGGCGUCCUGGAUCACCUCUCUGAGUAAUUAGGCCUCUGUUGAUUCCAACCUUAAUUUUGUUGAGGACGGUUGUAGUAAUAGUUGUUAUUGUUGUUGAUGUAGUUCAUGUCCUCAAGCAUCUCAGGGCAGUGAUUGCCUGAGUGUCCAAUAUCUCCAGUGUGUUUGUGCUCGUAGAUCCUGGUUCUUCACUUGGUGGAGUCUGGGAGUUGUAAAACUCCUUCAUAUUAUGCUCAAAGUGUUUCUGCUCAUAGAGACAAGGCAGAGAUCAAGUGCAUGGGCCCUGUUGGUGGAAAAUACCAAUAGAACCAAAAGUGUAUUUGUUCUUCUCUAACCUUAAGCAUAGUGAGCAGGACAAAGUUGAUGGAUCAUGAGUGUAGCAUUUGUCAGAUCAGAUGGCUCAACCUAAUGGAAAGAUAAUCAAUCUAUAUUUAUGUUUUGUUUAUAUCUUCCAAAGAUUGAAUGUGCAACAUAUUAGCUUAUAUGAUUAGGAGUGUGGGAUCACGAAGGUAGUACUAAGAACAAAGAUUAAAGAGCUAAACAUGUUGAAUUAAUUAGGUUGGUUAAUUUAGAGUUAUAAAUCAUACAUGUUUGUCUCUUUAUUUAUGUGAAUGCCAGAACCAGGGAGAAGCUUAUAAAAGCGAUAGUCACGUACCUUAAGAUGUUACCUUACUUGAAGAGUGAUGGUAUAGUAUCACCUUGUGGAAGCUUUCCUUUCUUAGUGGUUGUGCAUCGUGUUUGUGGCACCCUCCAUGGAUCAUCUCUUUAUGAUGAAUGAGCUAUGUCUUCCUCGUGCAAGUUGUUAAAUUUCAUGUGUCUCCUUUAUCUCCAAUGAGCUUGUAGCUCAGGACUUCCCAGGUUAAUAUUGAAAGUUUUCCUGCAGGGGUUAGUCCGACAAAAUAUACCAAUGCCUACUCAAGCAGUUUUUAGUUCAAUAACCAAACUAGACUCCAUGUCUAAUCAGAUUAAGGAAGGCUAUUUAACCUAAGCACCAUGCUUAAUUUAAAUGCCGAUGGAAGUAUGUCGAGUACUUCCAAACCAACACUUACUAGGAUAAACAAAGGUAGCAUGAUGGCAUUUAUAGAGAUCUACUCAAGUGGAGAUGAAAAAUAAGUUUAGUGUUUAGAAAAAUUGAGCAUGCCUCAAAAGUAGGGACAACCAACAUAGCAAUAUGGCAAAGGAUGUUUUUAUGUAAAGUACUCCCCCAAGCUUGAAUUUUGCAAAAUUCAAGACUGGAUGAAUUUAAUUCAAUGUUGCAUGAUGAUUGGUUGGUCAUACCUUGCGCUUGUUAUUCCUCGGAUCUUCUUGCUCCAAUCUUGGAAAGGUUAGUGGCAAGAAUACCCGAAGGAAUAUUUCUACAAUUAUCUUUAUAUGCUCAAUACACAAGGCAAUGUUGUAAAUAAUUAGAAGUUCAUGAUCAGUGCUUGUUUUAGGACACUAAGCUUUGGGAAACCAUCAAUUUAUGUCAGCGACGUGGUUUCCCCUCCAACGCCAACCUAUAUCAAAAUCCAACUCAACGAGAUCUGCAAUAUUUAUUAUAUACAUAUGCAUCGACAACCGCUCUUUUAAAGUUGUUAUAAAUAGAAAGGAAGAGAGGGUUGGAGAUCUCAAAUGUGGUGAUAGCACAUGGAUUUUUAAUGCCCUCUAGCCAUUGAUGUUGCUCUUCUCGAUCCUCCUUGUGGUCUUGGUGACUCUUAUGAAUGGGAUGUCUAGAGAAAUUCAUAGGCUUAUCGGGAGGUUCAAAAGAAAGAGCAUAGUAGAAAUUAUUAGACUCAAGGAUGGGAUGGAUAGCCGAAUCAUGGGAUUGAAAUGUUUGGAAAUUGGCUAUUGAAACUUCCUUUCCUUGUCUGGGAGAUGAUUCCUUCUCUAUCUCUAAGAUUUUUCUAUGAAGACUAGUACAAGAAGGAUGUCCACGAAUGAAGACAUACCUUCCUUUACUGAUAGAUAAAGAAAGAAAGACUCUACCAAAGGGUAUAUGAUUAAGACUAAUGUAAAAAUAUAGAGAAAAAACAUGGUCUUGUUGGGCUAGGUUUAAACUAGAAUUUAUAGAAAAAUUAAAAGAUUCCCUAGGUGUAGCUAAAAGUGCAUUAUCUUCUUGAUUAAAAGAUAGGACCUCAGCUAUAAAAAAGGGUUGGUUUUGACCUAUUGCAAUCAACUCCGGACACAAAUCAUAAUUAGGGGCAGGACUUGUUAACUCCCAUGGUCUAUGGCUGGUCUCCGAAUGUGCAAAGAAUUUAAUAAUAGGUAUGGAAUUUAAGUUAUCCAUAAAGAUAAAAGUAAAAAGAUAAAAGAAUAAAAGUAUAAAAGUAUAAUACAAGAUAAUAGCAAGACUCAAAGUUAUCUUAGCAAACCGUCUUUCUCUCCGGCAACGGCGCCAGAAAUGCUUGUUGAUAUUUGGUAACGCAAUAAGGAAAUGAUCCGCAAGCGCACGGAUAUCGUUGAGCAUUUCACCCGAGAGGUUAUCCAGAGUAUCGUAUUUAUAUUUUUACCACUGGGAGAAAGGGUGCAUCUGACUAACCAAAUCUAUUGAUACUAUCCCUUUAGGCUACAAAGAAUGUUUCUCGAUGUGAGUGAUGUAUAGAGAAGACUGCAACCGUAGUCUCGUUCUAACCUUGGUAAGGAUCAUCUAAUGUUCUAUUGGGGAAGCUUACGGAAUCUAGACACCACAAAGGAUGUUCGACCCGCACCUAUAAACCCUACCCGUCCUGCUAACAAGAUAUGGGAUACAAAGGUAACACGGAAAUGUCACGUUCCUCGCUACUACCACGGUCCAGCUAGUCAGGGGAUAUCUAUGAGUACCCUAGACUAAACACCACGUUUACGCUAGCAAUGAUUACUCUAAUACUCAACCGGAAGAGGACUAAAGUAAACUCAUAAACCAAAGAACAAUAAAACAAGAACUUACUAGAAUUAGAAGUCGAAUUACUGAAGAGUCCUAGGAGCAAGCCUCAGGUUAGAAGACUUGAUCCUGCAGGUACAACUCGGAGUAGACACCGACAGGCCGGCCUUCCUCCGAUCUACACCUCCACUCUAUCUCUCUCAAUCUAGUAGAAACUAGAAGAUCUAUUUCUACUCACAUUGGUUGCUAAGCCUAAAAAGAAAUAUUAUUUAGAGAAGAGGUUUUCCUUCGAGGGCACCCCUCAACUCUAUGAUAACUUCUUGUCUUCUCCAGUGGCCAAGGGGGUCUCCAUAUAUAGUCCUCCUCCUCCAUGCAUUUUUGGGUCGGUAGGCUGUUGACACUUGCUAACACCACUUGAAUACUAGGUUGUCAUCCCCAGCAUGGCACUAGAGUGUACUAUGGUAUUUAUACGCACACAGAUAAUCCGCAAGCGCACGGAUACCGUUGAAGCUUUUACCCGGUUAAAGGUUUUAUCGUAUCCACAGGGAAACGGGAGAACUGAUCUACGCUCUAACUUAACUAAGAUAAGUAAAUAGGUGUGAAUAGGAAAGAUGGUAGAAUCGAAUAAGAACAAUAUUAAAGGUAAGAUAACAGUGAGUGAUAAUAUGGGAAUAGAGAGUAGAGCAAUUCUAGUAUAUGGGCGAUGGUAGC